UACGUAGGCGGAAAAUUAAGUCAGUAGUGAAAUCCUGCAGCUUAACUGUAGAACUGUUAUUGAUACUGGUUUUCUUGAAUAUAGUUGAAGUAGGCGGAAUGUGUAAUGUAGCGGUGAAAUGCUUAGAUGUUACACAGAACACCGAUUGCGAAGGCAGCUUACUAAGCUAUGAUUGACGCUGAGGUACGAAAGCGUGGGGAGCGAACAGGAUUAGAUACCCUGGUAGUCC
rnacentral:rRNA from 1 species